rnacentral:rRNA from 1 species
GAUGAACGCUGGCGGCGUGCUUAACACAUGCAAGUCGAACGAACCUUCGGGUUAGUGGCGGACGGGUGAGUAACGCGUGAGAAUCUGCCCUCAGGAGGGGGACAACAGCUGGAAACGGCUGCUAAUACCCCAUAUGCCGCGAGGUGAAAUGAAUUUCGCCUGAGGAUGAGCUCGCGUCUGAUUAGCUAGUUGGUGUAGGUAAUGGCUCACCAAGGCAUCGAUCAGUAGCUGGUCUGAGAGGAUGAUCAGCCACACUGGGACUGAGACACGGCCCAGACUCCUACGGGAGGCAGCAGUGGGGAAUUUUCCGCAAUGGGCGAAAGCCUGACGGAGCAACGCCGCGUGAGGGAUGAAGGCCUCUGGGCUGUAAACCUCUUUUAUCAAGGAAGAAGAUCUGACGGUACUUGAUGGGUAAGCCACGGCUAAUUCCGUG